GUGCUCACGUCAGCGGCACAUAUACUAAAAUGGGAAAAAUACAGAGAACUGGCCCUUGCACAGGGAAUACAGGCAAAUUCAUUCAUGCAGUGUUCU
ensembl:snRNA U6 U6 spliceosomal RNA